GCGAGUGAGCGGGAAAAGCUCAAAUUUAAAAUCUGGUGGUCUUUGGCCAUCCGAGUUGUAAUCUAGAGAAGUGUUACCCGCGUUGGACCGUGUACAAGUCUCCUGGAAUGGAGCGUCAUAGAGGGUGAGAAUCCCGUCUUUGACACGGACUACCAAGGCUUUGUGGUGCGCUCUCAACGAGUCGAGUUGUUUGGGAAUGCAGCUCAAAAUGGGUGGUAAAUUCCAUCUAAAGCUAAAUACAGGCGAGAGACCGAUAGCGAACAAGUACCGUGAGGGAAAGAUGAAAAGAACUUUGGAAAGAGAGUUAAACAGUACGUGAAAUUGCUGAAAGGGAAACGCUGGAAGUCAGUCGCGUUGGCUAGGAAUCAACCUUGCUUUUUGCAGGGCUUACUUCUUAGUUGACGGGCCAACAUCAAUUUUGAUUGCUGGAAAAAGGCCUAGGAAAUGUGGCACCUUCGGGUGUGUUAUAGUCCUGGGUUGUAUACAGUGAUUGGGAUUGAGGAACGCAGCACGCCGCAAGGGUGGGUUUCCACCACCCUCCUGGUUCCGAAGGUGGCAUUAUGGC
rnacentral:rRNA from 1 species